UUUUUUCCCCGCAGAUACUUUUUAUUUGGUUGCUCUUUCUUCGCUGCCUGCUUUAACUUGUACAAGCAGCACUACUCCAAACUCUUACUGCAUGAGCAUCAGUUUACACAGACCAUUAUUUAACGCUCCCUCCCCUAGGGCUGGAAAAGGGGGGUGGGUCUGGGAUGAGACUUGAAUAGAACGAACCUAUUAUUUCGUAUAAUUCAAAUCAGAUAAGUUUGCCCAUUAAGCGUGCAGUCCAAGUUUACUUUUUCUCUCUUUCCCCAAUUGCUUUGGCAAAAUCUCACAUGUGGAUUAUCCCAACUUUCUCCUUCAUUAAGAAGGUGAAUUUGGGGCCUUUUUUUUUUUUUAUCUUCUCCCCCCUCCCAUAUGUUAGAGAACACAGUAUUUUCUGUGAGUAUCAUCCAAGAACAUAUAUAUGGAAACAUUUCUACAUCCACAGAAAACAGCAACUGUCUUCCACGGUAACAUUACAAACUCGCAUUCCUGUAAGUUACAAUAACCAGGGAUGUUAUUUGUAUUACAGAGUUUGUUUGUGAAAGGAUGUACCUUGUGUCAACUUUUGUACAAAAUAUCCAGUGCCUUUCAACCAUGCACAAGGUUCACCUCGGCUUUGCCUCAAUUCAGCAGUACAGGUCUAUAACCACACACGGAGAACUUGAGCUCCAACCUGUAGAUCAGCUUCUUUUGCGCAAUUUCAAAGUCCUUUGUUCUACCUUCAUACCCACUUGUAUAUGCUCAUAGAAGUAUUAGUGAUAGUCUGUAAAAACGUCAUUAGCUUCAGAAAAGGUGCACAAGAGAUCCAGCUCAGUUACAAGUGGAUCACAAGCUCUGAUAAAACCAGAAAACAGAGGAAAAUUUAAGGCAAGAUCCACAUUUCUAGAACUUACUUUACCAGCAACAUAGCCAUGACCAAGUUUAGUGAGCUUCAAACUUAUUUUCCCUAUAUUCUCCAUGUUUUUGUGCACUUAUAUUUGGGGGCACAAACCAAUUAAGACUUGUGUACAUGCUUGAUUUUAUCACUGAGAAUAAAGUCCACCUCCCAUUAAACAUCAGCCUUUGUAAGCACAGCAUUAAGUGUUCCAGGAAUAAAAAUGCACAGGAUAAAUAGCAUCUAUAAAGUACACACUUGUUUAAGCUGAAGUAGUGUCUCUAAAAUAGGCUUCAUUAUUUUUUAAGAAGUCUAGAGAAAAGCAGCAUAAAAAAAUAGAAGUUUUUAAAAAUGAUAAAUAGAGGCGGUUGAGAGUUAUUUCAUGUGGUAAAGAAGACUGCAUGACAACAGCCUAUAGAUGUAUACACCUUCUGUUAAGAUGCAUAUCAGAAGAAAAAAAACAAUAGUCAUAGUUUGCAGCUACAAAUGUCUUGGAUAGAUUUUCAGAUAGCACUGCUACCUCAGAUACCUCUGGGUUCUCCCACACAUUUCAGACUGCCAAGCUACCUCACAAGGUUAUGUAAUUGCUGUCACUAACUCUGUAAGAGCAGAUUUGAUAAACAUCUGUUGGGCACAGUCUGAGUGUAUCACAUUCUAGACUACCUUUGGAGUUUCCCUUUACUGACUAUGUUUAUGCCUGUUGUAGCUAUGUUAUUUCUUUAACAUUUGCCUGAAGAUGGUUUGGGAGACACAAUUACUUAUAAAACAAAUGGUUCUGGGGAAAAAAAAAUCAGGUAGAUGUGACGAUAAACUUGUUCUGACUUUUACAAGUGAAAGCUAAUUCUAUGUCUUGCUUAGGGACAGUGUAGGAGAAAAAAAAUGAAACAAAACAGGGAAUACCUCUUAAAGUAAAUAGUAGAUGCACUAAGAGAUACCUGUAGGAGGAUUUAAAAAGAACAGGAAGAUAGACAGUAGUCCUAAAGGAUGGAAAGGACAGUCCAAACUAAAUCACCUAGAUUACAUUUGCCAUAUUCUAAGAACAAUAUCCAAAAUAUUUAAAGCUUCUGAAUAACUGACAAUGUCCCUAGAUUGUAAGUCAACAAAUAAAAUGAAAACAGCACGAAUUCACUUUGCCAGGAACACUGGUAUAACUCCUUAACUAGACAUAUUAAAGGUUAUAUCAGAAUUUUAAAAAAUGAAUUAAGAUCAGAGCUAGAAAUUUGAAAGUAAAGUUUGUUUUCAAGUUUAUGCAGUAGCUCUCCAGCUUUAAAAACUGAUUUUCAUGUUCUAAUCUCUAGAUUGAUGGAGAGAAUAUAUGCUCCUCCUGAAACUCCUUCUCACAUCUAUUAGUAUGGUAUUUUGUAUCAGUCUCACACCAUUAAUAUCAUGUAAAGCAGCUGCUUCUAUUCAUAUGCUAGUAAGAAACUCAGAUAUACUAUAUACUGUAGGGCUUCAAUCUUGCAGCUGGCACUAGCUUUCUCUGCCUGUACAUUUUUUGUAGUUAAUUCCAUAUUUGGGCAUUUGGUUCCCUCCCCCUACCCUUUACUUCACAAUGAAUUACUCCUUCUCUACAAAAUUAAUUGUAAGAGAGUUUUUGUGACCAGCCUACUUGAAAAAGAGUUUCAGAAGUUUUGUCCUCUUAAGUACUUCACCACAACAGUACCUAUUUUUUUCUCAAAGGAAUUUCUAGAGGUGGCAAUAGUCCCAGCAUAGGAACUAUGUGGUAAAUCCACGCUUUCACUCACACAUCUAAGCAGUUUAGUUCAUGUUCAUGUUUAAUUUAUUUUGUUUGUGUGUUUGCCAAAUAAAUAAAUAAAAAGUGCAAAACACAUAUUCUAUUUGAGAUAGGUAAACAGAGAAAAAUGCUAUUUCAGUCCAAGCAGAGCUGAAGGGGACGCCAAUCAUACUCUACUCACUUCAAGGGAGACUAAACAUAGAACUUGCAUACAAGCAUAAUAUAUAGUAUUUUUAAUAUAUUUAUAUAUAGAUAGAUAGAUAUAAAUAUAAAUUUAAAAAUAUAAUAUCAUUCAAACAUUCUGUGACUGCCUGCUAUCAAGUUUAUCAUAAUAAAUCUACUUUUAGGAAAUAAAAACCAAACACCUAUACAUAUAUUCAGUCUGCUACAUGGAUAGAUCAUGCUCAACAUUGGAAAGCCUAAGAAAGUUUCUCCCAUUAUUCACACGCACACAUAUUAAUGUGAAAGCAAAAAAUGCAGGAAAAAGUCAAUGAAUGUAGUUAUUUUUGAGUAAUGUUAUCAGCUUUUAAAGAAAAGGCAGAACAAAUGUGGCAUUUGAGAAAAGAGACCUAAGACAUUCCUGUGAGACACCUCCACAUCUGCUACUGUUCUGUGUUUCUAAUGAUUAGGAUUUGCCAUCAAUGUUUUAACCUAUUUCCCUCCAAAUAAAAAUACAAAGAAUUUGCUUAGAGGCAACAGUUGAGUAUAAUAAAAAUAAAUGAAAAAAGCACAAAAUAGCAAUGAUGGUUAAAACUGUCAACUUUCUUGGCUAUAACAGAAGAGGAAUUUGAAGGAGAAUUAACAAUGCAGUUCCACAUAUCUGUAAAAUGGGCUCCUUUCAGGCACGAGUUGACUGACAUCCACAGUAAUAUAAUCUUUACUCAGUGCACAAGGUAGCCAGUAGCUCUAAGUCUUGUGUUAGCAAAAACCUAGUAGUGGUAAGCCUAAGCGGCCUGCAUAUUGUAGCUUGUAAUAACAGAUAACAGAAGGCUCACAAAGUAAUUUAUCAAAAAAACCCAGUCAUAAUAUUAACUUCUAAGUAUGUUUGGAACAUGAUAGAUAUUUCUAGGAAGCUUGUUAGAUGGAGUAGAAAUGAAGAGCUGCUAGUAGAUACAAGUUCAGAUAGACUUUUACAAUAAUGCUAUUGUAUGAUAACACAGUACAGUAACUGUAGAAUAACGCAAGCUCAAAGGGUCCCAUAAGGAUCACCGAGUCCAACUCCUGACUCCACAGGACCACCCCAAAAUUAGACAAUAUGUCUGACAGCAUUGUUGGGAUGCUUCUUGAACUCCAGUAAGCUUGGUGCUCUGACCACUUCCAUGUCUGACCGCGCUGUCAGUGAAGAACCUUUUCCUGAUAUCCAACCUGAACCUCCCCUGGCCAUCAAUAAUUAUCAAUAAUACUAUAGUAAUCUAUUAAUGCAGAUACAGUUUUGUUUUUCUAGCUAAGCUAUUGAAAAAUAAUACUUGGAAUUAUAAUAGCUAAAUUAUUCCAUGGUUAAACAGUGAAAACCAGGAAUGGAAUACUUAUGAAUGCGAAUGAUUGUGUGGGUUACCACAGCACUGAAUAUAUAAUUACACUAUUUUCUUCUCUUUUCUGUGCCAGAUAAUAAUUGUGUGGUUCUGUUUGACUUUCAAAUAAGAGUUAUUAAUAUACGCAUCACUGUUUGCUGCUUUACCACCACUCUCUGCAGCCUUACUACAGCAGAAUCCAAGAUGGAGGUCAGACUGACCAACUAAGCGUAUUAAAUAAUCAGCAUUAUCAGUAAAACCCAGAGUUUACGCUCCAAGAGACAGACAAAGCUGAAAUAAUAGUCUCCUAGAGUAGACUAGAAAAAGAUAAAGGAAGAGUGAAAGAAUGAAACUUACCUACAGUUGAGAGAGCAGCAGCAGAUUUGACAUGACCUAGGGUAAAAGCUAGGCUUGUGGAAGGAUGUGUUCUGUCCCUUUUUCCUUAGAAAUACAAUCGCGGAUUUGUUUCAGGUAACAGAAAUCCAGUAGUGUCAGAGAAACAAGGAAUUCCCACGAAAAAUGGUGAAUGUAGCAGCUGUAACAUAAAACUUGUUCGUUCCAAUCCACAUAAGCCCACUGAACCAUAAAGGAGAAGUUAUGCCAUCAGCUCUAGCCAACCAAAACACAUUUAUGUGACUUGGAAGACAAACAUUUUCUCCUACUUCCACAAUCUUCCAGCACAUGUAUUCAUCAGACUUAACAGAAACUUGAAUAUACAGUUAUUUAAAUUUGAACGAUAACUUUUGUGCUAGUCUGUCAGUCCACUGAUUCUGAAAAAUUGUUUUGUGUAACUAGUCAGUUUGGACAUUUAUUAUUUCAAACCAGUUGGAGCACAUGCCUCUUUCACAGUAGAAGUGUUUCAAUUUUAGUUAACUUUUGGUAUGUAACAGGAUCACAGUAUAAACUAAACUUGACUAUUGACAAUUUAAGAUUGCAUAUUAUUAUUGGAGGAUAGCUUGCCUGGAAAUCCACAGUCAUACUGUUCUCUCAGUCUGGACCCCCUAGUGGGGUCAUAUUAACUGUGCUUUGUUACCUUCACUAAGUUAUUUCUAAAUCCAAUUUAAACUUGCCCUCCUCUUUGCAUGAACUCUGACAAAGUUCAUCUGAAGCUUUCUUUGUGUCCUAAUGGCUUUGCUAUUCAGAGUCAGUGGUUACAUUAUCAUCUUAGCAGGAAUUCUGUUUUCUCAGAAUUAUUUUCAUUUUUCAAUAGUCUUGGCUAUAUCUGGCUUGCAAUCACUUGAACAGUAUCAUAAAUAUUGUACUACGUAUAAAAUACCACAGUGUUCAAAUAGCUAAUGCAUCUAAACGCAUUUAUGGAAGCAAAAGGGGUUUGAUGGGAGGCAUUUAACUUGGCCCAAGUAACACCUUCAAUUAACACUAUAAAGAUAGGCUCUUCAGAAAUUUCAGAAGGAAAAACAGCUGAAGCAUUGAAACGUCAGAAAUUUCGGCAAAAAUUUUCAGUGUAAUUUGAAACAUCUUUUCACUGAAAAAGCCAUGCCAUUAGUCAUGGGUUUUGCUUCUUCUGACUGCUCUUAAAUGCAUAUUUUGAAAGACCUUUUCAAGUCGUAAAAUCAUUUCUUUGGAAUUUUAAAUGAUUUCCAAAUUCCUAUUUUUUUUCCUGAAAAAAAGGACAAAUUUGAACUUAAUAGAGCAUGAGGUGACAACAGAGCUUAUAGGUAAUUUACUCAUGAAGCAGCUUUAGUUUAAAAGAAAAAUGAAAACUACUUCUCAGUUUUUGGUUACAUCUACCAUACGGUAAUUUAAAAUCUUAAUCAAAUUUGGAUAGAAGAACACACAAAUCCAAGCAAACUACCCCAUCCCAGCAUCUGACAGCACUGUGCAUUAUUUACUAUUUAAUGCUUAAACAAAAACCAUAAAUGAACAGCAAUAAAUAAAUGAUUCAGCUCUACUUGUAGAUUUCUUGUAGCAGAUAUAGAUCCUUAUCCUGUCUAAUGGUACACCUGAGAAGUAGCUGCCUUCAAUCUCCAUUUUUAAGUUCUUAAACACAUUGUAAAAAGGUACCGCUAAAAACUGUGAGCAUCACAAGGGCACAGGAAACCACAGAAAAUAGGAUCUGCAUCUAUUUCAGUGCUUCGCAGAGCUGAAAUGCUGUUGGAAAGUAUAACACGAGUGCCACUGCGCCCUUGCAGUCCUGCAAGUCAUUUUAAUGAAUAACAGUACUCUUCAAGCAUUUAUCCUUUCACAGAUACUUGUUGACUUGCCAUAAGGAUGAACACAAACAUGAGUUUCAGUAUUGUCAAAACUCCAAAGAACUAUAAAGAAGAAUGACAAUUCCAUGAAGAAGCUAGAAAGUGGAAGUUUUCUCAGUAAGGAAUUUAGCCUAGCUAAGGAGGUGACCAGGAAUAGAGUAAACUGAAUUAUGUCCAAGAAAAUUGCACAUCUAUUAACUGACUUCCAAGAAGUAACAUACUUACCCUCAAGUUCACCUGCUUCUGCCACCACUCAGUCUGAAAACAGUUUUGCUAUACAAACUCAUGUUAUUUUGUCCCCCACUUAAUGAGAAUUCAGGCUAUCAUCAAGUCAUAUCAUUUGCAGGUGUCAACAGUUUAUCAGGAUCCAUGAACUGCAUAUUGCACUUCGUUGGCUGCUGCUAAACAAUGCAGUGUUAUGCCAGAAUACUCCUACAGGGAUAUAGACAGCAUCUCAGAAAGGUACAUAUACAGAAGUGUAAUGGCAGAAAGAAAGGGUUCCCUCACAUGCUUCUGCAAGACAAACUCAGAGCUCUCAGCCAUGUUGUUUCUACCGUUUCUGUAGCAAGCAAUCUCGCAAUCCAUUUGCACAGUAAAAGCACUGGCCAGCAAGCAUCUGAUAAAGAACGUGAGUGCCUGACUGCAACUUUAGAGAGCUAGGGCCCAGAUUCUUGGGAUUCAGGCCACAAGGCAGUGAGAGUCCACCACACAUACUGUGCAGUUACUGUGAAGCAUCGUGCUUGCAGCCUACCAUACUGCUUCAAAUAGAUACCUGUGUGACAAAAUUCAGUGCUGAGUUGUGUAGCUGAACAAGAUAGCUUCAUUUCCUACAGAACAGGGAUUGCAGACUAAUUCUGGAGCAGUAUAUUGUGCCCACUGCUUUUGGAAUCAUGCCUUAGAGAACUGCUAGUCCAUGCAGUUAGUGAGAAACAAGUAGCUUUUCUUAGCAACAGAUUCCUGUCUGGAAGGCAGAAUUGAGUGAGUAUAUUACAGCGUAGAUACAGGACAGCAACUGUUUUAUACUGAGUAACUGCACAUCUGUUCGCCACUUGCAGCUACAAUCAUCUGUAUGGAGUAACUACUGCAGUAAUUCUAUCAAAUUACUGAUUCUAAACUGUGAACACCAACACACUAUUUCUGAAACAUGGAUUCUUACCUCUUACAAUUAUUUUUCUUUGCUUAAUGCUGAAAGUACUGCAUCCCACAUAGACCAUUAUUUAGUGUAAGAUCACUCACCAUAGCCAAGAUUUGCAGAAUACUGCAUCACUCUUCUAACUUCAAGUACUACUAAUGCGACAGUUACAAAACCAAGUAUUGUUAUUAAGCCAUUUACAAACGUAGCGAUUUUUCUCCCCUUCUCCCCCUCCCCAAAGUUUAUGAUGAAAGGAGAAGAGUUCCAAAGUUAUUCAUAAAGUGUGGUACAGAAAAUUAUGCAGAGGCCUACUGACUUACUUUCCCAUCUGUCCCACUGCCAGACUCCUCCCAUUACAUUAAAUUAUCUUUCCAUUUACUGUUGUUACGAGAGCCUGUCUGAAUUAUUAGAAGGAAAUAAUACUUUAAAACUGGGGGGUGGAAACCAGCACCAGAACGCUGCCCAUUAAUCUUUUGCCUAUAAGAUGCUCAGGUACUGUUGUGAAUAGUCCCAGCUUGUGAGGCAAAAAACCUAGAACAAGAAAGAGAAAGAACCCGGCAUUAUGUGGUAUAUCUCAGAGCACAGAACAAAAGCCUCAAUCAGACCAGUUUCAUUUUCAAAAUUAUCUGUGAUAGAGAAACUGAAGACAAGUGCUGUGUGUUCUGAGCUAAGCUUCCACCAUUGCAAGAAAUAUUCUCCAUUUGUGAAUUCAUACUAGAAAGAAUCAAUUUGUUCCUGAAACACAUCUGCCACCUAAGUUGGAUAGCUUUACCAUACAUACUCCUUCUGGUAGAGCAAUUUUUACAGUAAUCCAUUUUGAAACAACAGAUCAAGAUAAAUGCUAUUUGAUAGGUUGUUUCUAGGACUCUAUAAACUCUCAGCAAGGUAAAGAAGAAAAAGAAUCCACAAUACAGGUAGUAUAACUAACUGUUACGAUAUUAAAUUGAAGAUUUUUGUUGUUAUUUAUUGUUUUUCAAGAGUGCUCUGUACCAGAAGCUUCUCCUCCCUCUCCACAGGUUUUCUAGACAGUUACUGUAUUUACUUCAUUAUGAAAAAAGCCCUAGGAUUCUCUCCUUCAUGCAUCUGCCUCCUAAUCACCUUCUGGCAAGUCAAAACACUCUUUGAUCCAACAGUAACUCCUGUAGUGACACUGCACUGUUUAGCAGUUAUGGUUUUAUUAUGUAACUAAUAAACAGAACAUAAAUAACAAGGGAAAUAGCUUUUAUUUCAGAAACUUCUCAACAGUAGCAACAAAAAUAAGGGAAACGGAGCACAGAGUUUAUUUGUACUUACUAAUGCUUUCCUCUAGUUUACUUUGCAGACAGAGCCCUUCUUUCUCUUCAUCGUAGAACUUCAAAAUGUUUCAACCAAUUUGCUAGGAUUUUAGAAGAAGCCAAGUCAUGGUUAUCAACUAGGUCCCAGUUUAAAAACAUUAUGUAAAGUGCUCCUAUCAGGACUCAAUCACUUUUGUUUAAGCGAUUUAAACAUCAACAUUUUGCUAAGUAGACAGUAAUCAGAUAAAUAAUAUUUCUAACAUCAGUACAAAGUCCAUAUACAAAACCUUUUCAGAAUUCACCUGAAAAAGUGUCCUCAGGUGAUAAAAAUAAAACCUGUUCAUCACACUGAAAACCAGACAGGUAUAACCGGGAUCCAGUCACUGGAUAAUAUACAUCUCCGUGAUGAGAUUAGGUCCUUAUCUUCUUUUCAUUCAGUCACAAGAACAGAAAUGCUGCUAAGCAAAAACGUGGCUAUAUAGAUGCACACAAAGAUGUCUUUUAGAGGACCUGCCAGAAAUUUCAAAUCCAUAUUUUUAGUUAUGGAAAGAGGUACAUGGAUGCACAGUUGUUAUAGAACGCACACAUGAAGGACAUCAUUUCCGGAAGCGCUUAAAUAGGGGAUGGAUGUGCUUAUUUGAAGAUGCCUUACUCCGAGAUGAGUGAUAUUCCAUAUAAACCGCAUCAUCGGCUCCUGACAUAGAGCUCAUUGUGCCUGUGCGACGUGACAUCUGCAAGCAUGGAGAGGAAAAACACAUGCUUAGAGUGUGUGAUUAGACAGAUCAGCUCUCAUCUACAGACCUUCGGACCAAAAAGCCCUCAAAACUGGUUUUUAUUUUCCUUAAAGGAGAACUUCUACUAAGAAAGUAACUGCCUGCCUACCACUCACUCUUAUGUAAAAUGGUCUUUUAGUUUCUGCCCUUUGGGCAUGAGGAAAUCAGUGAAUUAAUGAGCCAAGAGCUAAUGCAGCUUAAAAAAAAAAAAAAAAAAGUUUUCCAGUAUUUUACUAAGACAUGAAGGCAUCAGUGGUGCCAUCACAUUCAGAAUUAAAACGGAAUGGUCCUAUUCUACUGCAUUUGUGGUCAUUCUUUUCAAAGCAUUUUUCAUUACCUGAACAGACUUUGAACCAUAUUCUCCAGCAACUACCUCCUCCUCGGCAUCUAGGUCAGAUGCUUGUAGGACUUUCUGAAGAAGUUGUUGCUGUUCUUCUUUGGAUGAAAAUGAAAGUUCUUCUUCUUCCAUGCCUGCAAGCUUUGUUAUUACCUAAGAAACAGAGCACAGUAUAAGUCAGGAGUUUUUGAACUGUUAUUAGUUAUGGUGCGUGUGCAAAUGUAUCCCCCACCCCAAUCUCCUGUUAUAUUCUGGCUUGAAAUGCAGUAGCUCUGGACAGGAAAUGUAUGCCAAACAUUGUCAUUCCAUGCCAGCUUGACCAGGAACCUUACUGGAAGGAUGACUUCAUGCUGCAGCUUCAGGUUUUGUCCAAUGGCCACUGAUGACAGAGCAGUUUACUUCAGAGUACCUGCAGUUCAUACAGGUUCUACCCACGGAGAUGUCCCAAAAUGGAUGUAUGCCUCUAAUGAUCUUCAACAGCUAGGUUCAAGUGCAAUCCAUUAGAGACUAUUUGCUCUUUCACCUUGUGCAAUUUGUGCAGUGACUGCUGCACAUGGCUAUCUGGAACAUCAUUUGUCUUUCACGUCACCGUCACCACUGCUGAAACACACCACCCACCACCUCAGUUUGCUAGCAUCUACUGUUUAAGUCUCCGUAAGUGUUCAGCAAGCUUCAGUGAACGUCAAUGGGUGCCAUUUUUUCUGCACGGAGGAAUUCAAUUCCACAUCUUUGCUUCAUAUGCACUUCCAUGCCAGACACCAUUUUGUCGGACUGCCCCCCUGCUACCAUCUGUCACACAACAACAACAUGCAAUGGAAUAUUGGUGAGAAGAUUCAGCCUUUACUGCCAUACUACCAACAUCCACCUCUGACACUGUGGGCCAACAUAAUUAAACAGGAGGCAUUACUUUCAGAUCCACCCUUAUAUAUCCGAAAGUAAUGUAACUAAAGUAACUUACCUUCCUAAAAGCUGUAUUAAACUACUUGUAUCUACCCUUACAGCAACAGAGUUAACAGAAUAAUGCAGGAAAAAUUUUUGCCUGCAAGUAAAACCUUCAUUAAUACAUUUCACAACUGUAAUUCUCAAGUAUCUGACCUAGUCACAAAAUGAAAGAAUUAAAGUUAUAUUCACAGGCCACAGUUUAGUAAUUAGAAGGGACAAAUUACCUUGAAGCUAUAGCCUUGAUCUACAAGAAACCGCUGUCGCUUUGUUGAAUAUGCCAUUUCCUGAGUGUCUUGGGAUACAAGAGAAUAGAAAAAGGCAUUGUAUUCCUCUGCAACCAUGCCUAGGAGACAAAGCCACCAAAGGAUUAGUUCCAUUUGGAUCACUACAACCAAGAAGAAAAAAGGACUAAAUUGUAAAAAUAGGUAUUCAAAGAAGAAUCCUCUCCACAAAAUCAGUUUGUAAAAUGUAUUUUAAAUACAAGCUGCAUCCAGACCUUACAUAAACUGAGUGACAAAGCACACCACAUCGAAAUUCCUACUCUUGUUCAUAAUAACUCGAGGAUAGCUUAAAGGGAAAUGGAAAAGGAAAUUUAGACUAUCCCAGUUAUGCUGGUACCCCGAGAAGAACCUGCUGCUUAACUAUGCAGAACAAAGUAGAAGAAAAAAUUACUUACAUAAUAGUUUGCAAACAAGUGGUAAGAAGUCGAGAACAAAGAUUGUAAUGGAUGUCAAAAAAGUUAAACAGAAAUUACAAUGGAAAUUUAUCAGUGUGAUUUAUCAAUGUAAACGAAAGUUAGCAAUCUUUUUGCAUUAAAAGAAAGAUAAAACGAUAUUUUCUUUAACAACAAAAAAACCAAAGCAACCAAACCAAUCAAACAAACAAACAAACAAAAGCCCACUGACCUUAUGGCUAUUUUACCUACUCUCAAAUACCACUGGGUUUUCUUGCAAAACCCAAGGUCUCACUAACACAAGUUUUGUAUGCAUUUUCAAACAAAACUUCAGCCACAAGAAACAUAAACUGUACAGAAAAUAAACUUUGCUGUACUACACCAAGACAGCACUGUGGAGUGUGCUUUGGUAGGAAGAAAAUUACAGAUAACAGCAGCAACUCUGUAUGGGGACAAUAAAAAGAGACUUCACAUCACAUGAAAACAGGUGGGAGAAAGCAAACCCCAGAUUCUGCUUACAACACUCAUUUUCCCAACAGCCAAAUGCAGAACUGAAGCACUGCAAUUUUAUUCUCCACCUGACAGUUAUCAAUAAUUUCCUCUGAAAUACGACCACUUCCUAGGGAAUACUCUUUCUAUCUAAACUAAGUGCCAACAGGCUGUGAUAUAAACCAAUCUUUAAGCUUCUUACUACCUUAACUUGAGAGAACUCUUGAAGUAGAACCAUUUCACCUUGAGCUACUUUAUAAUUUGUCUCAAGAAGAUAUAAAUGGGAUUAGAGCAGAUUAAACAUCGCCUAUUUAUCAGUUAAUAGAACAGACUUACAUCAGUGUCUUUUAGGAAACAUUCAGUUAAUCAAGUCAACCAGCAAAUUCUGCCUAAGAGCGAUUCACCUUAGUUCAAGACUAAUAGAAACGUCAAAAGAAAACGUGACAGAAGCAUCCCAAUAGCACUCAUAUGUAUUCUUCAAACUGAGACACAGAUGGGAGUGAUCAGUGAGAUUUCAAAUAACCAAUGAAGCAAUUCCUAAAAUCCUGACCCCACAGUAAGUUUAAAUCCUACUCACAUAUCCAUCAUAGAAAAAGGAAACACCAGUACAACUGCAGUUUUUUUCCUAUAUGAUCUCUGCACUCUGAGUCUAGAACAUACCAUAAAAAGCAAAGCUCACUUUCACUGAAGCUACAGUGACACUGUGACUCCACAUAUAUCCCAGGCCAGAGUGACAAAUAGCUUUUCAGCUUACAGUUUACUUAUCCUCUAGAAAUAUACUGGAGGAUGAGGGGAGGAACAGCAAAAACCUGAUGAACUAUUCAACCUGAUAACGAAAACAUGAUUUUGACAGUCUUUGGGUAGGAAGUAAAUGCUACAAGCACUCCAUUUAUGCUUUGCUAUGGAUGGACAGGAUUGCUGCUCCUGUUAGUGCCACAGCUUUCUACAACCUCCACCUGAAGUGUUUGUAAAUCAACUUUAAUAAAACACUAAAACAAGCAUUAGAGGAGAGAGAUACCUCAUAGAAACAAUGCUGGCUUUAUUGUAACAUAGUAUAUACAAAUUCACAAGUUUGGAGGAAAAAAAUAAACAUCACUGGGUGUUCUGGCUCAGCUGAUCUUAAGUUCUUAAAACAGAAAGGGGGAAACAAUGCUAUUCUGGCAUAGUAAAUCAUUGUAACAGGAGAGGAAAGAAGAUGCAAGAAAGUAUACAAGAAAGAAUUCAUUUCUGGCUAAAAAAGAAAUGGAGAAAAGAAAUAAGAGCUGCUGCAAGUGAAAGACUGAAUGGCAUCCGUAUUAGAACAACAACAACAAAGCCAAAACCCAACACUUCUCUCACACGGAACCUUGAACUACCUUCUUAUUCAUGAUAUUGCAGUUUAUUCAGUCUGUGUUUCAGUAUUCUAAAUAGUUGAGUAAUUAUCUGAAUGCCGUACUGUAUUCCAAAGAGCAGAGCCCAAGAACUACCUCACCUUUUUUGGCUCUCAGUACUCGCCCCAGUCUUUGAGCCUCCUGUCUUCGAGAUCCACCGUGGGAUGAAAUCUGAAUCAGAACAUUGGCUUCAGGUAGAUCAAAGGAUGUGUCACCCACCUACAACACAGAAGCAGUGUCUGAGCAGCAUCUUAUUUCCAUGUACCAAUAACGACUUUGUACAAAGUACACCUUUAUUAGUUGCAAUAAUAAAACGUCAAAUGCCCGAUGUGCAUGUAUAACUUGUUCUUAUAUAAGGCUCACUCUGAAGAUGAGUACAAAAACACACUACCUCCUCACCUUUGAAAUGAAAAUAGUGUUGAUUUUUGGAUUGUGCUUGAAGUUUUGUAGAAUUUGCAUUCUUUCUCCUUGUGCAGUAGGACCAUAUAUAUAAGGUCUGAAAAAAACAGAACACAUGCAAAUUAAACCAAUUCAAAAAUCCUCAUUUUUUAACAGGCACUAAGAUAUCAUGGCAGGGAGCUCAUUACACAGUGAUUUAAACGUAUUAAUAGCACUGGUGAAAAAAAGAGCAUGAGCUAUGUGACUCUGGAUGACAGACUUAGGACAGAGUAAAAACUGGCUUAACAAAUUUUGAGUUCUGAGGCCUCAAAAAAUUAAAGGCAAAAUAAUUCCUGUCAUGUGCAUGUUCUUUCCCUGCUAGUACCAAGGGAAUAGAAUGGGGCAAAGGAGGAGCUGGUGCAGCAGCAGCCACCAGGCAAUGCCAAUUUCUCUCCACUGGGGAGCCCACCUGCCCCAUAUGCUUGAGCCAGGCAGUGGAACCCACCCGCUGAGCCAGCACAGCC
rnacentral:lncRNA from 1 species